rnacentral:rRNA from 1 species
GAACGGGUGAGUAACGCGUGAGUAACCUGCCCUAGAGUGGGGGACAACAGUUGGAAACGACUGCUAAUACCGCAUAAGCCCACGGUACCGCAUGGUACUGAGGGAAAAGGAUUUAUUCGCUUUAGGAUGGACUCGCGUCCAAUUAGCUAGUUGGUGAGGUAACGGCCCACCAAGGCGACGAUUGGUAGCCGGACUGAGAGGUUGAACGGCCACAUUGGGACUGAGACACGGCCCAGACUCCUACGGGAGGCAGCAGUGGGGGAUAUUGCACAAUGGGGGAAACCCUGAUGCAGCGACGCCGCGUGGAGGAAGAAGGUUUUCGGAUUGUAAACUCCUGUCGUUAGGGACGAUAAUGACGGUACCUAACAAGAAAGCACCGGCUAACUACGUGCCAGCAGCCGCGGUAAAACGUAGGGUGCAAGCGUUGUCCGGAAUUACUGGGUGUAAAGGGAGCGCAGGCGGGAAGACAAGUUGGAAGUGAAAACCAUGGGCUCAACCCAUGAAUUGCUUUCAAAACUGUUUUUCUUGAGUAGUGCAGAGGUAGAUGGAAUUCCCGGUGUAGCGGUGGAAUGCGUAGAUAUCGGGAGGAACACCAGUGGCGAAGGCGGUCUACUGGGCACCAACUGACGCUGAGGCUCGAAAGCAUGGGUAGCAAACAGGAUUAGAUACCCUGGUAGUCCAUGCCGUAAACGAUGAUUACUAGGUGUUGGGGGAUUGACCCCCUCAGUGCCGCAGUUAACACAAUAAGUAAUCCACCUGGGGAGUA